AUUGAACGCUGGCGGCAUGCUUUACACAUGCAAGUCGAACGGCAGCGCGGGGCAACCUGGCGGCGAGUGGCGAACGGGUGAGUAAUAUAUCGGAACGUACCCAGAAGUGGGGGAUAACGUAGCGAAAGUUACGCUAAUACCGCAUACGAUCUACGGAUGAAAGUGGGGGACCUUCGGGCCUCAUGCUUGUGGAGCGGCCGAUAUCUGAUUAGCUAGUUGGUGGGGUAAAGGCCCACCAAGGCGACGAUCAGUAGCUGGUCUGAGAGGACGACCAGCCACACUGGGACUGAGACACGGCCCAGACUCCUACGGGAGGCAGCAGUGGGGAAUUUUGGACAAUGGGCGCAAGCCUGAUCCAGCAAUGCCGCGUGAGUGAAGAAGGCCUUCGGGUUGUAAAGCUCUUUUGUCAGGGAAGAAACGGGACUGGAUAAUACCUGGUCCUAAUGACGGUACCUGAGGAAUAAGCACCGGCUAACUACGUGCCAGCCGCCGCGGUAA
rnacentral:rRNA from 1 species